GUGAAUCAUCGAAUUUUUGAACGCAAAUUGCACUCUCCUCGGAGAGUAUGCCUGUUUGAGGGUCAGCCUAAAUAAAAUCGGCUUAGUUGCUGUGUUCCGCAGUAACGUUUGGUCGGAACUUGGGUCAUCUUAAACCGAAAGGUCUAAGCGACUUAAAAAUAAUAUAUUUACGAUCUUACGAACGUUUCUAAGAUUUUCUUUUACGUUCAAGGUCGAUUGCUUAUUAGACGUGACUAUCGUAUCGGAUCGCGUCCAUAAUAUUUUUUCUUUAACUGACCUCAGACAGGUAAGAGUACCCG
rnacentral:misc_RNA from 1 species